AUUGAACGCUGGCGGCAGGCCUAACACAUGCAAGUCGAGCGAACCUAGCUUGCUAGGUGAGCGGCGAACGGGUGAGUAACACGUAGGAAUCUGCCCGAUAGUGGGGGACAACGUCUCGAAAGGGACGCUAAUACCGCAUACGCCCUACGGGGGAAAGCAGGGGAUCUUCGGACCUUGCGCUAGCGGAUGAGCCUGCGUCGGAUUAGCUAGUUGGUGGGGUAAAGGCCUACCAAGGCGACGAUCCGUAGCUGGUCUGAGAGGAUGAUCAGCCACACCGGAACUGAGACACGGUCCGGACUCCUACGGGAGGCAGCAGUGGGGAAUAUUGGACAAUGGGGGCAACCCUGAUCCAGCCAUGCCGCGUGUGUGAAGAAGGCCUUCGGGUUGUAAAGCACUUUAAGCUGGGAGGAAGGUUCGCUGGCUAAUAUCCAGCGGAAUUGACGUUACCAGCAGAAUAAGCACCGGCUAACUCCGUGCCAGCAGCCGCGGUAACAC
rnacentral:rRNA from 1 species